GGGGGCGUGGGUGAGUGCGACGGAAAUCCCGCCUUCCGGCGCCCGCGCUUGACCCUGGCCUCAGAGGGUGAGCUCCAAGUGGGAAGAUAAGCGGGAUUGCGGGAAGCGGGAGAGCCGGGAGGACAGCGAAGCGCUCGUCUUCACCAUUGGCUGCGCCCGCGGAGCAGCCUCGUUGCGAUUGGCCGUAGGCGGAGGGGCGCGGGAGUGUCGCGUCCGCCCGCCGCUAGGGCAGUUAGAGGCGCGGGGAUCCGGGCUGAGCCGGCGGCUGCUGGGAGGCUGUGUCCGGACGCCGGCGGGGCCACGCGGCCCGGCCCUGCUUGUCAGGCCUGAGAACCGGCAGGACGCUGGAGAAAAGCUGCCCUCUGAAUCUUUGUUUGGCUGCCCAGGCUCGCCUUGACUCCAAAUGUUCCGUUGAAAACAGAUACACAGGUGGGGUUUGCCAUGUCUUUUUCUUGGCAUGUUUCUGCUUCCAUGUUUAAAUUUCUCGUGUAAGGCUGUUUUUUUUAGAGCAUGUAAGGGGAAGUUAGUUGUAUCUUCCUCUGUUAGAGGAGCAGGUUUAUUUCCUCCUAUAACUUAAAAUGUAGCAGUCUUGGCCGGGCGCGGGGGCUCACGCCUGUAAUCCCAGCACUUUGGGAGGCCGAGGCGGGUGGAUCACGAGGUGAGGAGAUGGAGACCAUGCUGGCUAACACGGUGAAACCCCGUCUCUACUAAAAAUACAAAAAAAUUAGCCGGGCGAGGUGGCGGGCGCCUGUAGUCCCAGCUACUCGCGAGGCGGAGGCAGGAGAAUGGUGUGAACACCGGAAGCAGCGGAGCUGGGCAGUGAGCGGAGAUCUCAUACUGC
rnacentral:lncRNA from 10 species